AGUGAACGCUGGCGGUAGGCCUAACACAUGCAAGUCGAACGGCAGCACAGUAAGAGCUUGCUCUUACGGGUGGCGAGUGGCGGACGGUUGAGGAAUACAUCGGAAUCUACUUUUUCGUGGGGGAUAACGUAGGGAGACUUACGCUAAUACCGCAUACGACCUACGGGUGAAAGCAGGGGAUCUUCGUACCUUGCGCGAUUGAAUGAGCCGAUGUCGGAUUAGCUAGUUGGCGGGGUAAAGGCCCACCAAGGCGACGAUCCGUAGCUGGUCUGAGAGGAUGAUCAGCCACACUGGAACUGAGACACGGUCCAGACUCCUACGGGAGGCAGCAGUGGGGAAUAUUGGGCAAUGGGCGCAAGCCUGAUCCAGCCAUACCGCGUAGGUGAAGAAGGCCUUCGGGUUGUAAAGCCCUUUUGUUGGGAAAGAAAAGCAGCAGGUUAAUACCCCGCUGUUCUGACGGUACCCAAAGAAUAAGCCCCGCCUAACUUCGUG
rnacentral:rRNA from 1 species